CUUUUUCUCAAGGUUUUAAGUGUGUGCAUGCUGUGAACACUCAGACAAUGCUGGAGAGAAACAGACACUGUGCUACCCACUUGCCUAUGUGCCUGGUGAAUCUACUGUCAACUGUUGAUAGCAGUAACUGGCCCCUAACAUCACCACAUCCAAAGGCCAUGAAAGAGUGAAAUCUGUCUAGUAGACCAUUGAACUCCCAGGCCUCUAUUCUGAAGUCUCAUGGGAGCCAUUCUGUUUAAGUUCACUGCACCUGAUCCCAAGGAGCUCAAUGGAUCUCACAGUUCCCAGUUCUGCUGAAUAUUGUCACUGGUUACCUGUGGGGAGCCGCAUGGUGUGAUAUGAGGGGGGAAUCAAGACUACAGUGAAAGAACUUGAGUGAGGCAUAUGGCCGCAUAGCUAUAAAGACAAUUUCCAGCCUCCCCUGCAUCAAAUGUGCCUGUGUCCUCGCCAAUGGAUUACAAGUCGAGAACAGCACUGGAAGCUGGUGAUGAAGAGGAGCCCUUCUCCCUUUUGAUGUGAAACAGAUACAAUGUCAAAAAAAAAAAAAAGACAUCACACAAACAAACAAACAAAAAAAAACCCCAAAACCAAGAUUACUCCUUAUAGAAACUGAUCUGUCCACUGCAUUUCUUUCCCUGCCAUUAAUAGGUCACCAAUAUUAUUUGAGGCUAUAUUUCAGUGGUUAUUGUAGUUAUUGUUUUCUGCCUUAUCUCCCUGAAUUUAGUAAAAUCUUUGCUCUACAUGGUACUGAUAUGAUAAAUCACAUUAUACUCAAGCUCUCUGGAAAUGAAACGGCUUGCCUUUAAGAAAUCAAAUUCUACAGCAAAGCCCUUCCCCCAUCUACCACUAACCUUUUGGCUUUCCUCAGUCUUUGACUAGUAGGAAAUAAUAUUUCUCUGGUGCUGACACUGCAGAGGAUACAGAAAUUCAAACUGCAUGAAGGUUGAUAAAAAUGAAUUUUAUCAGGAAAGUGAGAAAGUGUUCAUAUAAAUGAACUUUAGAUAGGUAUAGAGAGAUAAUCUGGGUAUUUAGCUGAGAGAUGAAUACUUAGAUUACUAUAUUAGAGCAGAAGAAAAUUCAUUUUUUCUUCUUGGAUUUUGUAUUAUAUGUAGAAUUUCAAAACUCUUGACCUCCAAAGAACUUCCAAAUGCAUCUUAAUACCUCAUGAUUUUAUUUGGCUUAUUUUCUACUUCCAAGCACAUUUGUACUCUUUAGGAAGAUAAAAAACUGAGUUACAAGGCAUGUACAAGGUCAUAUUUUGAGCCACUAGUGGAACUUGGACUGAAUUUUUGAACACUUUCUCAAACCAGUUGAACUCAAUCUUCACUGCAUUGUACAUGCCAAAAAAUUUUCAAUACUGUAUAGGAAAAAUUAUUUUUCUUAUCUUGUUUUUCGUUGGUGUGUUUCCCCCCACCCCUACACAGUCUAACCUUUGGCAUCCCAUUUCUUGCCCUUAGGUUGUAUGUGUGCACUACACAGCUUAUCACAUUUAAGGUACAUGCACAUGGUGAGUUCAAAUCACUGAAGCUUACUGAGCGUGUCAGUGUGAAGUGCUGCAAAAGAGGAAAGACACCAAGAGAUUAUUCCUGAUGCUGGUGAGCCCAGAUGUGUCCUCUAGAUGUCCUACAGAUGUUACCUAAUAACUUUAAGAGGCUAUUUGUGGUGAUAACUGUGAUAAAUUAAAUGUGAUCAAUUAAUAUUUUGAUUAAUUCAAUUCUAUUUAAAUGAAAUGAAAACUCAUUUUAUAGCCAAUCAUCCUGGUACAGGUCGGAUGGUAUUAAGGCAUUAAUUCUCUUUUUUUGAGCAGUUAGCAACACACCUUCCAUUUCCGUGCUAUCAUACUUUUCCAGCAUUUGGCUACUCUUAACAAAAAACAUAAAAGACUUCUCUAUUCUUUUCCCAAAUUAAACCUUCCUUCUUCAUACGUCAAAGAAAAGAGAGUUCAAAUUCUUUUCCAGCUCUUUUUUAUUAAUGCUUGAGCAAAGAUAAAUGUUUUCACAAGCACCAGUUAAACCAGAAAGAGAAGAAUUUCCCAGUGAUUCAGUGGGUCCAUCAAUCAAUGCUGUAAACUUUUUCAAAGUUAUGGUAUGUUAAAAUAAUUACAAUUAUAAUUAUUAUUAAAGAAGGCUCUCUGAGACCAAAUUUUUGCUUUAUUCAUUAUCUAUCCUUGUCUCUCCCACAACCAUUCACCACUAUUUAGAAGACCUACUUCUAUGCUCCUCUGCUCUAUUUGUAACUAAUAAUAAUUAAUUAUAAAAUAUUUUGUUACUGAUGAGCUAAAUCAAACUCAUCACUUCCUCUUUCCUGAAUCUAGCCUGCUUGUAUUUAAAUUACUCUCUUGCUGCCUUUCAAAUCACUUGAGGCUGGAAAACUUUCCAAUGUUCUAUAUUCAUUUAUAAUAUAUAUGUGUACAAAUGACUAAUACAUGUAAUACAUAUGUAUGAUACAUAUGUAAUACAGAUAUAACACAUGCAAUAUAUAUAGGUAUGCUUCUAUCUCUCCCCUCCCCCUCCUUACUCUUUGUUCUGGUAUUAUACUAAUUUUAUGAAAUUCUUUAUCUUCCUUGUUUGUUGAGGUACCUUAAUUUGGGGAGGGGGGCUUUGUUAUGCUGACACUGUGCAAAGCUAUAGUUAAAAAUAUGUAAACAUCCUGCAUGAUUGAAAUACACAAGGUUCAACUCCUUUUUUUUCCUCCUCUUACAAAGAUAACUAUUGAUAAGGCCCUGUAAAUCCUUCAUUUAAUUCCUUUCCCCGUUGGAACUUCCAUACCCUUACUUCCAUCCCUAUUGGGACUUCCUUUUUUUUUUUUUUUUCCUGUUGGGACUUCCAAAUUAUUUUGCUCACCUCUGAUUUCUCCCCUACUCUAGUCCAUCAUCCAAGUCCUUAAAAGUGAUUUCUAAAUAUAGAUUUGAUCAUGUUACUACCCUACUCAAACCCAGUCUUACAGUGUUAUUCAAAGUCCAUCAUGAUUUGAUGGCAGCCUACCUUAUCAGCCUCAUCCUUGCCACUUUCAUCUGUUAGGUUUGCAUUGUGCAAACUUCUCCAUUUGUAGGGCACUUUUCUUCAAAAAGAAAAUCUGGGAGCCUAUUGAACUAAUGAGGAACCAAUAGGAACAAAACCCAAUAAGUUUUUAUUCUAAAACUAAUAAAUUGAUGCUCUGGUUUCUCUUCAAAUUGCAUAAAUCUUUUGCCUUUUACUAAAACUAAUAAAUUGACUCUUUCCUCUUCUUAUCAGUGCCUAUUUAAAAAAUAAAAUAACUAUGAGAAGUAUGCUGAAUUUUAGGAUAUCUCCAGUACUAUAAACUUGACUUGGACAGGAUUUUCUAGAUCAACUAUUUAAAAUACCAUAGAUAUACAUAAAAAUAAUUAUUUCCAUCUUGAAAAUUGUGUUCAACAAUGUGUUGGUUUUUAAUUCUAUUUUAAAAUUAUAAUAAAAUUGCCUAUGUUAGAUGCUAUUAUUCUAGGAACCAUACAUGUGUGCAUGCACAUGCACAAACACACACACACAUACACACACACACAUUUAUCAAUGCUUUGUUUCCCCAAUUACUUCCAAAGUUAUUCAACUGUGACUACAUUAGAUUAGACAAUUAACUUGCAAAUACCUCAUUUGGCACAAAUGCUUUAAGAAUAUUAUUAUUCAGAGCUAUUUUUGUUUCUCUAUUUCUCUAGAGUUUGGAAUUACCCAUAGCUUUAAAAUUACUAGGUUUUUGGAUACAUUUUGAAUUUAAAAGCCACCUGUAAUAUUGCGUUAGUCCCCUUUGUUUCCCAGUGUCACGUAGAAAAAGGUGCUCAAAUGACACUUCUGGAAGGCAAGUGAAUUCACUGUAAUGCAGACAUAUACCAACAAAUCAGCUUUCCAUUAAAUGACUGUUUACUGUAUUAAGGCAAUAAGAAUGGUAGAAAGAACAAUGUUGCCAACCAGGUACCAAAUCCAUGUUGUCUAGAGAAAAGUAGACUCAUACAUAUGCAAAGAACAGAUAGCACAUGCCAUGUAAAUGACAAAAUUACUUACACAUGAACACUACGAUAAUAAUGGUAAUAAAAAUGAUGAUUAAUAUUUAUUGAGCAUUUACUAUAUGCUAGGAUCUGUGCUAAACUCUUCCAGACAUUUCAUCAUUGAAUCUUCACAAAAAUUCUAUAAGGCAUGAACUACUACUAUACAUUUUACAGAAUGAGAAGGAUUUAAAGAGUUUUAUAUACACUUAGUUUUACCCAAAUGGUAAGGGGUAGAAGUAGAACAGGUUUUUCUGAGUUUAUAACUUUCUAAUACUCUAAAAUGGACAGUUUACCCUAUUAGGGGCAUCACUAAGAUGGUAGAAUUAAAUGAUGAAUAAAAUCCAAUAUAUUCCCUACAAAAUAGAAUUUAAAAAUAUUUUCUAUGUUACAGCACAAUGAAGACAAAAUUCUGUAAUUGAGCUCAUAGGAAGACAUAGAUUUCCCCAGGAAUUAGAGUUCACCUCUGGAUAGAAUUAGCAGCAGCCAAGCAUAUUUCUACAAUGUUUUGAAGCUUUGAUAUAUUGAGCUAUCUACAGCAUAAACAUUGGUAAAUUUAGUGUGGCAUAUGCUGGAUAUUUCAAGUUUUAAAAUUCCAGCCUAGAUGAUUUAACAGGAUUAAAAAAAACACUGUUCUCUAAUAUUGCAGAAGUUACCAUGGUAUAUUUCAAGUCACAGUUUCAAAACAGCAUCAGCAUACAUGAUCAUAUUACUAAUUGAGUCCAUAGCAAAUAUGGAAACAGGUGCACACAUAAAGAUCUACUUUGAUAAUUGAAAUUUAUUUUGAAUAAGCAGUAAACAAUAUAUCUUAAGUUGUCAUUACUAAGACAUUCAAGUGAAAGGAGAUUCAUGAAUGAUUAUGCAAAUUUCAAAGCCACAUUCAAAUGUGGCUUUUAACAGCAAUGUGCAAAACAUAAAAAGAUUCUGUUUCUUGUUUUCUUAGCUGACUUAAUCUACUUGUAUUUCAGAAAUCUAAUAUUUAAAGAGGAAGAAAUUGUCAAUUUAGUUGUUCUUGGCACAGAUAUAGCUAUGGAAAAUUCCUAUAAAUAUUUUUAGUCAAUUAGGAUUGGCCAGGAAGUUUGAAAAUUCAUUAUACAAACAGAACAAUUCGUAGGGGAAAAAAAACAAAGAAAAUGGAUUUUCAAACAAUGAAACAGUAUGUAAAUUAAAGUGAUAAAACAAAGGAAGAUGAGAUUCAUUCAUUCAUUAACCAUUCACUCAAUAGGUUUUUAUUAAGAAUUUACUGUGCAAUUUGUGGCACCUGGGUGGCUCAGCUGGUUACGGACUUUUACCCAGGUCAUGAUCUCAUGGUUCAUGAGUUUCAGCCUCGCUUCUCAGCACAGAGCCUGCUUCAGAUCCUCUGUCCACUACCCCCUCUGGCCCUCCCCUGCUCUCUCUCCCCCCUUCUUUUUCUCUCCCCCCUCCUUUUUCUCUCUCUCAAAAAUAGACAUUUUAUAAAAGAAAAUGUUACUGUGCAAGAUAUAUCAAUAGACAAUGACCUCUGCCCUCAUGGCACUUUCUAAUGAGAAGUACAGAAAUGAUAAGACUAAGAGUCCAAUUCAUUUUUAACUAUAGCUAUGAUAAAUGCUCAAAGGAGACAUUAGCAUGAACUCCAAGUGUAAUAAAAGAGCUUGAAUUAGCGAAGGACAGAAGAAAAGGGAGAUGUGGCAGGCACACCAAGAUAAAUUCAUUAAUGAAGCAGCAUUUGGGGCUGAGAUCUGAACUAACUAGGUCAACCAACUAGCAAAGGAAAUAAAAAAAAAUCAGAUAAUUUUGUGUUGUGAUUGUUCAGCAUUUAUGUGAAUUUCUCUAUCAAAACUUUUCAUAGUAUAGUAAGGUAGUUGUUGCAGAACUGAGUGUGAUUUAUGUUAGAGUAAUGUUCAAGAAAUAUGCUUUAUUUGGAAGCAAAAGUACAUGAUGGUUAAGUUUACUCUAGAAUCACACACUUGCUCCACACUUCCUUCUACUCUUUGUGAAAUUGGGCAAGUUUCUUCAGCUUUCCAAGUAAUAAAUAGCUAAAAAAUUAGGAUAAUAACAUUGCCUUUAUUAUAGUCUUGAUAUGAGGUUUCCCUGAGAUGAUAAACAUCCACCAUAUCCCUGGUACAAAGUAAUUAUUCAAUAUAUCUUGGCUAUUAUUAUAAGCAGAAAAAAGAUUGAAAAUAAAUGUCAAAGAGGACUUAUAAGAUUAUAGGCGUUAUUCCACAAGUAACAGGAAGCCAUUGAAGUUUUCUGAAAAAUUACUUAAGCAUACACAUUAAAUUGUUAGUGACAAUCUAUAGCUUAUAUAGUGUUUCCAAACUCAUUAUUUAAUUUAAUCCUCAUUAAUCUUGAAGUGAUGAUAUUUUGAUUGACAUUUUACAGUUUAACAAACUAGAACUCAAAGCACUUAAAUGACUUGCCCGAAAGCUCAUAAGGACUUAAGAGCUAUGAUUCACAACUUCAAGCCAAGAAUAGUGUAAGUUUUACCAUGACACAGCUGGCAGAUGAUUUUAAAAGACACUGUAAACAGGUUACACAGAAAAACCAAGGGACACCAUUAUUUUGGUUAUUCUGAACUGGACGUGGAAAACUUUCAUUUUUUUGAAAUGUUGUUGGGAAGAACAUAGAUAUCUGAUAAAUGUUUAAGAAGCUGGAGACUUUGAUGUUGGCCCCAUCUUUGCCACUUCACUUUGCAACAAGUCACAAAUCAUUUAACCUCUGUUGUUGUAGGGUCCCUCAUUUAAGAAAAGAAAAAAAAUCAUCCCAUUUCUUGGGAUUUCCUAAUGGCUCAAAUGAGACACACUCCUCCCCCCAAAUUCCCCAACAAACAAAACAGAAAAAUCAAAAGAAAAACAUACAUGUAUUGCCACUUUAAUAACAAAGGUCUCUAUUCUUACCUUGAACUUAAAGUCUCAGAGGAAAAGUAAAGUCAGAGUCACUGAAAUGCAAAGAGAUAGUGGCCACUCUGAUUGUUUUCCAUUUCCUUACACUGCCCACCAGAAAUUUUUGGGUGCUCUGUCCCUUCCAGUUUGAACUGUGAACAUGCAGACUUGUCGUAGUUUGCUAUAUAUGUCAUAUGUACUGAGGGACAUUUUUCCAAGUCUACCUCUCUAUCCAGAUGUUAACGAAUUGUUACCUUUAUGGCUUUGCUUUCUGUGUCCCAUCGUGCUUCAAGACAUAUAAUUUUUUAAUUUUUAUUUAUUUUUGAGACAGAGAGAGAGACAGAGCAUGAGUGGGGGAGAGGCAGAGAGAGGGAGACACAGAAUCCGAAGCAGGCUCUGGGCUCUGAGCUGUCAGCACAGAGCCUGACGUGGGACUCAAACUCACGAACCGUGAGAUCAUGACCUGAGCUGAAGUCAGAUGCUUAACAGACUGAGCCACCCAGGUGCCCCGUGACAUAUAAUCUUCUUUUAUAAAGAAGGAAGAGUAAAAGUCAAAGAUCCUGAUGUAUUCUUCUCAUCUUCUUUUAUUGUUCUCAAGGUCUCUGAGGCAGUUUUUUAGGGAGGCAAAGGGGUUGGAACUUCCUACUCAUUCUCUUCUUUUUCUAUUCUGACCUUAUAGUCUCUUCAUCUUCUAAUUAUCCCCAACUGAAUUUUAUACCUUAUUACAUCUUAUAGAAAAUUUGAAGAUUUCUGAAAAUGUCCUUAGAUAUAAUGCCAUGCAUACUAGAAAUUUCCUUAGUGAAACUCAUGUUUUUGGAGAGUUUAAUAUGGUAACAUAUUGUAAAACUUUAUAAAACUACCACUUAAAAAAUUGGACUCUCACCUACAGAACUUUUGUAAAAGCUAGUAUCUGAAAUAAUCUAAUUGCUUGAAAGAAUAACUUGCAUUAAGAAUUCCCCCUUUCCUAGAGUAGAUACUCUGAUAUAGUCCUACACAUGGUUGUAAGAAACUAAUGUAAAGAUUUUUCAUGUAACAAGAGGUUUGCAGAGUGGUGAGGUGACAGACUGAAAUAUGUUAUAGCUUGGUUUUGUUGGAAGGUCAGAGACAACAUUGUGUUUUAUAUACUUCAGAGAAAAUUUGGUCCAUAAGAUAAUAUCUGUAUUAUAGAAAAGCAGUCAGCAUAUAAAAGAAUUUUACUAUUCUACAAAGGUAGCUUUGAUUUAUAACAAUUAAUAUUCUUUGCCACAACAGCUUAGAAACUUAGACUACUAGAAUAAGCAUUUGAACUACCCAGUCCAAUAUCCUUAUUUUACACAGGAGAAUGCUGAACCCAGAAGAGAGGUGAAAUGGUUAAUUAAGGUCAUACUGCUAGUUAGAGGCUCCAACUACAACCCCAACAUACUGAUCCUGGUGAGGUACACUAUGUUACACUUCAUUUUUUUUUUCUGUGUGCUCCAUGUUUUGUUCACCUCAAAAGAGAAAGACUCUGCCUGAGAUUGACUUGUCAGGUAUAGGCAAGAACAAAGCAAGAAUCCAGCCUACUUCUCAACACAUGAGUCAAUUUCAAGAAAAUUGAUAUAUGCUGACAAACAAUACUAUUAAGGAAGAGGUGUUUUCUGGACCAAAGAAAUGACCUUUACACAGUUGGAAGUAGAAGCAGUGUUGAAUGCCCUGUAUGAUGGAGGAGCAAAUGAAUUAUAUAUAAAGAUAGUUCAAAUUGAUUACGGCAGCAAGAGACUAGUCAAGGACAUUCAUAGGCAACUUUACUAAAACAUUUCUCCAUCCGUCCUCAAGAACAUAUUCCAAAUCCUUGGCGUGGAAGAAAACAGCAUCUGGACUGAGAACUCCUAAACCAUCAUACUUUGUCAGAGAACAAUUCCACUGCUACUAAAAGCCCCCAAAAUUUAAAAACUUAAAAACUAGGUAAAUAUGCUAAAUAGAGUUCAUGUGACAUUACUAUGAAAUACAGGCAGUGCAGAUGAUGAAUGCAGGGUGAGAUUACAGUUUGCAAAUCUGAAUAAUGAAUGAUUCUUCACAUUAACCUAAGCAAAGAAGAGAGAAAGCCAAUGACCAACUGAGGAAGGCUUCCAAGAAGAAUGUAGGAGAGAAAUAUGCUGGGUGUAAUUGCCAAGUUUUACCUCAGAAGCUGAAGGGCACUGGGCAGUGACUGUGAAUAAAGAGUGAGAUGCUAUUUUAGAAUUUGCUCCUGGGAGAGAAUACUAGCUGUAAUGUGGAGGGCUGUAUUCACAAAUAUAAAAAACAUGGAAUGUGUUAAGUUAUACUGAUGUGAAACCCUAAGAAUAAACUCCAAAGAUGACCUGGAAUGAUUGCCCUGAAUGCUUAUAUUUUCUUUCACUGUAUACAGACAUCUCAUCCCUAAAGCAAAUGAAAAGUAAUCACCAUAAAGCUUAUGAAGUAAUGUGGUGUGAUCAAAAGUCACUCUGGUGCCUCACUGUACUCACAUAAAUGUUCUCACUGAAGUGAAAUUUCUUACAAGCUGUUUUGUUUUGUUUUGUUUUGUUUUUGAGAAGAGGGAGGGACAGAGGGAGAGAGAGAAUUUUAAGCAGGUUCCAUACCCAGCACAGAGCCUGACAUGGGGCUUGAUCUAACAACUGUGAGAUCAUGACCUGAGCCAAAAUCAAGAGUCAGAUGCUUAACCGAUUGAAGGUUAAGCCAAGGUUCUCCAAAGCAAAGUUUUUCAUCCCCCUCAUCAGAUGGUCAUCCAUGAUCUCUGAGGCCCAUUUUAUGUUUAUAUUAUCACAAGUAAAAUGACUCAAUAAAUAAUGGAGGGAGAAGAAACAGGUGAAGAGUAAAGACCACGUGUGAUGAUAGAUGAGCAAAUAAAUCACCAAGGCAACUGAGAAAAGACACAUGUGUAAGUCCUAAAAGAAGCCAAGAAUGCAAGGGCUUUACUUUUCCCCAAAGAAGUGCACAGUUUCUAUCUAUCACCAAAUCUUCAGUGGAGUUUUCACUGUUUGGGAAAUGGCAGUAACUAUACUCUGGUAAAACCACCUUUCUGAUCAUGGUGUCUCCAUGAGCAAACAAGACAGGAGAACCUGCAUUUAAAAACACAUUUAAGAAGCUAGCAAUCCAGAAACCAUCAUGUAGAUAUAAGGAAACAAGUUAUAUGAGAUUGAGAUGAAUGUAUUAGUUGAUUUGGUGAAACACAAGGUCUUUUCCAUAAAAGAUAAACAGGCUAUGGGAUUAUUUAAGGCACCCCAUGGCCAUGGGGGGGAGGCUAACAUUAUUUAGGUUAGGCUACUCACUCUAUGAAAAUUUAUUCAUAAGUCUGACUGUAACCUUAGGAAAUGGUUUUGCAUGACUGGAAUAUGCUUAUGAGACUCACCAAUGACUAUUUUAUUUGGCCAAGAUAUGUGGACACAAAGAUGAAUAAUAACUGCCCUCUCUAUAAGAUGCUCAGAAUAUUUAUGCCCUUGUUUUUUCAUAAUCAUUCAUUAAUAAUCCCCUUACCCUUUGUCACAUAAUGAAAUGAAUCUCCUACUUCCUUCAAUUAAACAUAUGCAAGUAUUCAGAAUAUUUCUGAGAAUUUUGACAGAUGUUUAUUAUUAUUUUUUUGUAGAAGCACAAGAUUAAUGUUGGAGCAGCUAACCAGAGGCUUCAGGCAGACUUGGUUUUAUAGAGAAUAUACAAGUAAAUUUUUCAGUGUUACAUUUGCAAAUGAUCACGUAUCCCUUGUAGGAGGGGGAAUCCAGAUGACAAAGUUUGUCUUAAGGCCAACAAGCCAGGUUAAAUUGAGAGAAAGACACAGAGUCCAUUCUCUUAAGACAUGGGUUUAGAGAGGAGGCUAAAAAAAGUAGAGAAACCAAAGAAAACUACUUUACUAUGAGCUCUACAGAAUAACGGUUUCAGUUUCAUGAAGAAAGGUCUAUGAAUUGCAUCUUUUCCCUCUUUCCAGAAUUCAAACCCAAAUGAAGAUGAUGCAAGGGGGAGACAGAGACUUAAAAACAAACAAUUAAUACAAAAAAACCUUUAUUAUGGACUAGACCUGGAAUGGAAGACCAGAUAUCUAGGUGUAGCCAAAGGGCCUUACUGAGGCUUUUUUCAUUAAUUAGGCAGACUGACCCAACCAACUUCUGGAUCCAUGGGACCACAGCAUGAUACCUUUUCAGGGUUAGUCCACUUGCUGCAUCUCAGAGACCAGAAAGCAGCCUCAGAGAUAAUUUGUCAGGGACUGUGCCACACAAUCCCACUUCCUUCUGCCAAACUCACUUAUCAGAUAAUUUACUUCUCUUCUCCAAAGGAGAGAAAAUGCAUUGAGAGCAGGGAGGGUGGAGCCGGGUGUGCUAUGCUUUCCUUCCCAAGAAAAAGUGAUGUUUGGAACACAUGGUUUUCCCAACAAUACAGAGAAUAUAAGGAAUCAGCAGCUGAGUAGCUAGAAAUGAGGGAGAUGAUGGAGAUAAUGCUCUUAGCAGACUUUAUCCUCCCUGCAUUUGGUAUAAAUAACCAUGGUACAUUUUUUUUUUUUAUCCCCAGACAUGGCCUGGAAGUAUUCACCUAAGGCCCACAGCAUCCUGGAGUACAUGCUUGAUAUUAAUAAAAUGUAAAGGUGGGACACCUGGGUGGCUCAGUAGUUGAGCUUCUGAUUCUUGGUUUCAGCUCAGGUCGUGGUCUUGAGGUUUGUGAGUUAAAGCCCUGCAUUGGGCUCUGUGCUGGCAGUGUGGAACCUACUUGGGAUUCUCUCUCUCUCCUCUCCUUCUGCCCCUCCCCCACUCAUAUGCACUCUCUCUCUCUUUCUCUUUCUCUCAAAAAUAAAUAAAAACUUUAAAAAUAAAUAAAAUGUAAAGUUAUGUUUCAAAUAUUUUUAUUCCUGUAUGUAGAUAAUUAUAUGCAAUUGGACAAACAAUUGAUUAUAAUAAUCAAUUUUAUGGUAUAUAGAUUACUAGGUUAAUUAGAAUAUCAAUUAUCCUGAAUGUAUCCCCACCCCAUGUCCGCCAUUUGAAUCAAUGAGAGGUAUUUGACUAAAUGAAUAUUUCUUUGUAAAGAUCCACUGUGUUCAAGGCAUGUCUUGAUAACAGACAUAAAGAAAUGAAUUAGACACAUUCCUUGCCCUGAAAAGUUCUUAUCACAUAGAAGUUACAGUCAUGUAGCUAAUUAGGUGCAACACACCAAUAAUGCAUUGUUAGAGGCAGUGCAAAAGGAACUAAAAAGCAUAUGCAGAUCUGCCUAGUCCUCAGUGAAGGCUGGGAUUUGAACAAGGCUUCUGAAAAAUAAGAGCUAAAUCACCAGGUACUGAAAUUACAGAGGGCAUUCUAGUUAGCCAAAGGAGCAGUUCUGACAAUAAUAGAACCUUUUGUGGAAUUACAGAUAAUGCCAUUAUUGAAGAGUAGAAUUCAAUUGUAGGGUUGAUAAGUUAAAGGUCAAGAUGUAGGUUGAGGCAAGCUCUUAAAAGUUAUUUUGUGCUGUAUUUGUGUUGUUAUUGUGUUUUUAUUGCUUUGGUUUGUUUUUAUUCUCUUCUUUUGAAACAGAUAUAGCCAUUUUUGCUAAAGAAUAAAUGGGGAUUAGAUGUCAUCUUAGAACCACUGACAUUUGCCAAGCUUCAAAGGAAAGACUCACCAUUCCUGAGCUAUUUUGGUGCAGGAGCACUUGACUACAAUAACUGAUUAUCUCUGCCACGUCAUCUCCCUGAGACCAAGAAGAUCAAAUGAGUUUAAAUCAAAUGUCUCCAGCUAGGUUGGCUGGCAACUAUCCAUGAAGCAAAUUACUGGAGAAAGUCUCAUCUAAGAACUCAGAAGAAACAAAAUUAUUUUUCCUCCUCUACAUUAGUUUGUAUUAAGCCUCUGUCGUUCAUUCACCACAUAACGUGUAAUGACAUUGGACUGAUCCCAUGGUGCUUUCCUCCAUCACUUGAUGUGUGUAUAAGAACCCCAGGCUUCAAGCAGGAGAGAAAAGAAUAUCCUUAGAAGAAGAGCACUGAUGACUGAAAUAGAUAUUCAGAUUGGUGACUCCAAGAACUUUUACUACUAUUUACCAUCAAUGAACUCUUCAAAUCCUCAUGGAACAAAUGACGUUUCAGAAAAUUGGAAAGGCUUCAAUAACUACUUCUUUCAGAACACUGACCUUCCA